rnacentral:rRNA from 1 species
UUAAUACCCAAUCCUGACACAGGGAGGUAGUGACAAGAAAUAACAAUACAGGGCUAAUGUCUUGUAAUUGGAAUGAUGGUGACCCAAACCCUCACCAGAGUAGCAAUUGGAGGGCAAGUCUGGUGCCAGCAGCCGCGGUAAUUCCAGCUCCAAUAGCGUAUAUUAAACUUGUUGCAGUUAAAAAGCUCGUAGUUGAAUUUUAGCGUGUUCGAGUUUGCCAUUCGUUUGGCUUUUUCGAGUUCGCUUUUGGGUUUUCCCUUUUUACUUUGAGAAAAUUAGAGUGUUUCAAGCAGACUUUUGUCUUGAAUACUUCAGCAUGGAAUAAUAGAGUAGGACUUUGGUUCUAUUUUGUUGGUUAUUGAACCUUAGUAAUGGUUAAUAGGAACG